GACGAACGCUGGCGGCGUGCUUAACACAUGCAAGUCGAACGCUGAAGCUCAGCUUUUGUUGGGUGGAUGAGUGGCGAACGGGUGAGUAACACGUGAGUAACCUGCCUCCUUCUUUGGGAUAACGCCCGGAAACGGGUGCUAAUACUGGAUAUUCACUGGUCUUCGCAUGGGGGCUGGUGGAAAGGGUUUUUCUGGUGGGGGAUGGGCUCGCGGCCUAUCAGCUUGUUGGUGGGGUGAUGGCCUACCAAGGCUUUGACGGGUAGCCGGGCUGAGAGGGUGACCGGUGACAUUGGGACUGAGAUACGGCCCAGACUCGUACGGGAGGGAGAAGUGGGGAAUAUUGCACAAUGGGCGCAAGCCUGAUGCAGCGACGACGCGUGAGGGAUGGAGGCCGUCGGGUUGUGAACCUCUUUCGCUCAUGGUCAAGCCGAAACAAUGGUUGUGGUGAGGGUAGUGGGUAAAGAAGCGCCGGCUAACUACGUG
rnacentral:rRNA from 1 species